UCGAAACUGCAGGUUACAAUUAAGUCGAGUUGAAAUUCGCGAUAGUGACCUUUUGAAAUGACAGCUCUUCCAGUAAGGCACUCCAUUUGAAUCCAGGAGUCACUUUUGUUUCCAACUAGGCGACGAAGGUGAUAGAUGCGUUUAUUGAAGGCCGAGAAUCCUGAAUACAAUUUAAUCCUCCUCAGCAUUGGGCCUUACAAAUGCUGCUCGGGCGUGACUAUUUGGCGACUUGAAUGUUUUUUUU